GCUGCCCCGGCCGGUGGGCGGCGCCGGGCGGUGAGAGGCAGGGGGCGCCUCGCCCGCCCGCCCCGGCCCCCCUCCCCGGGUGUAUAUAGCGGCGGCGCGGCGCGGCGCGGAUCCCGCGGCGGGCAAGAUGGCGGCCGCCGCCAGCACGCAACCCCCGCAGCCGCCGAAGCUGCCGCAGCUGCUGGAGCGGGACCCCUACCUGGCCCCCUUCGAGACAGACUUCCAGCGCAGGUAUUCUCUGUUUUAUAACCGCUUGAAGAACAUUGAGGAAAAUGAAGGAGGCCUCGAUAAAUUUUCAAAAAGUUACAAAACCUUUGGCGUUAACCAAUUUGUCGAUGGUGGAAUAUAUUGCAAAGAGUGGGCACCGGGAGCAGAAGCAGUGUUUCUCGCAGGUGACUUCAAUGGCUGGAAUCCAUUUUCUCAUCCAUAUAAGAAGAUGGAAUAUGGGAAGUGGGAGUUGUUCAUUCCACCUGGGCAAGAUGGUUAUCCUCCUGUGCCCCAUGGAUCAAAGUUAAAGGUGGUGAUUCGUGCUCAAAAUGGCGAACUCCUCUAUCGUAUUUCACCUUGGGCAAGAUACGUAGUCCGUGAUGAAGACAAAGUAAAUUACGAUUGGGUACACUGGAAUCCACCACAGUCAUAUAUACAUAAGCAUCCUUCCCCCAAGAGAUUAAAAAGCCUAAGAAUCUAUGAAUCUCAUGUGGGGAUUGCUUCCCCAGAAGGGAAGGUAGCUUCUUACAAAAACUUCACAUACAAUGUACUACCUAGAAUAAAGGAUCUUGGAUAUAACUGUGUCCAGCUGAUGGCUAUUAUGGAACAUGCGUACUACGCCAGUUUUGGUUAUCAGGUCACAAGCUUCUUUGCAGCAUCAAGCCGUUAUGGAACUCCAGAUGAUCUGAAAGAAAUGAUUGACGUUGCUCACUCAAUGGGCAUCACUGUUCUGCUGGAUGUUGUGCACAGCCAUGCAUCAAAAAACUCUGAGGAUGGUCUCAACAAAUUUGAUGGUACAGAUUCUUGUUUCUUCCAUUCUGGUCCUAAAGGAACUCAUCAGCUCUGGGACAGCAGGCUCUUUGACUAUGCAAACUGGGAAGUUUUGAGGUUCCUUCUGUCUAAUUUGAGAAUGUGGAUUGAAGACUAUCGCUUUGAUGGAUUCCGAUUUGAUGGUGUCACAUCUAUGCUGUAUCACCAUCAUGGGAUUGGCACAGGAUUCAGUGGAGAUUACAACGAAUAUUUUGGCCUACAUGUGGAUGAAGACGCUUUGUGUUACCUAAUGCUGGCCAACCACAUGAUUAAUUUCUUGCAUCCGGAAUGCAUAACCAUAGCGGAGGAUGUUUCUGGAAUGCCAGCUCUUUGUCGUCCUGUUGCAGAGGGAGGAGGGGGUUUUGAUUAUCGACUAGCCAUGGCUAUUCCAGAUAAGUGGAUACAGAUAAUUAAGGAGCUGAAAGAUGAAGACUGGAAUAUGGGCAAUAUUGUGCAUACAUUAACAAACAGACGGUAUGAAGAAAAAUACAUUGCAUAUGCAGAGAGUCAUGACCAGGCACUUGUUGGGGAUAAGACAUUGGCGUUUCGACUGAUGGAUGCAGAGAUGUAUACAAACAUGAGUGUGCUCUCACCUCUUACUCCAGUUAUUGAUCGUGGAAUACAGCUUCAUAAAAUGAUUCGUCUCAUUACUCAUGCUCUUGGAGGAGAGAGCUAUCUGAACUUCAUGGGUAACGAAUUUGGACAUCCGGAAUGGCUUGACUUCCCCAGAAAAGGGAAUAAUGAGAGCUACCACUAUGCCAGAAGACAGUUUAAUCUUACUGAGGAUCAUCUUCUUCGCUAUAGAUUCCUAAAUACAUUUGAUAGAGAUAUGAAUAAAUUGGAGGAAAAAUUUGGCUGGCUUGCAUCUCCCCCGGCCUUUGUAAGUGAAAAGCAUGAAUCCAAUAAGGUCAUAGCAUUUGAGAGAGCAGGUCUCAUUUUUAUUUUCAACUUCCAUCCAUAUCAAAGUUACGUGGACUACAGAGUGGGUAUUGAAACUCCAGGAAAGUAUCAAAUCCUUCUGGAUUCUGAUGCUGCAGAAUAUGGAGGGCAUCAAAGGCUGGACCACAGUACAGAGUACUUCUCUGAAGAAUAUCCUCACAAUUAUCGACCUAAUUCACUUAUGCAAUCCAAUUUACAGACCACCUUCAGCCAACACCCCAGAAGAUGCCACAAGCACCACAUAGAGUUUUAUUUAAGCCUUAGAGGUGGUUACACUGACCAAUGAAAUAAGUUGAUAAGAUUAGGAGAUAAUGCCAUAUGUGGCUCUUCUAUGAUUUAGCAAGAAGCCCACCAAGACAAAAAACACUGAAACGCAUGUUUAAUUUGCCCAGGUGUACAUUCCAAGCAGAGUGGCUAUUGUGCUUCAGAAUAUGGAUAUCCCAAAAUGAAGUUCUCUGUAACUAUCACUGAAGAAGCAAGUCACAGAAGAAGUGCUGAUACACUGUACUAGUACUAAGUAUAACAAAACUUGCUCUAAGGAAGCUUUCUGAAACUAAGUAUAGUAAUAUUAGGUGUUUAAAAUGUAAGAUUAAUAUUCACAUAUAAUUGCAGAGCUCUUGACUUGCUAGAACCUCUUUUGAGGAAACUUUACAAAGAGGCAGAAAGGAAAUCAUUGGGUUUGUAGUUCUAGUAGUACAAAAUCACACUUAAGAUAUUGCAAAGCAGCAGGUAUUCUCAAUUAAAUUGUUGUUUACAGAAUUUUAUCAGGAAUAACAAGAGUGAUCCUGCUCUGAAGUUUGUAAUUUCUUGUAAUCCUCAUUUUGCUAGUGAAUUCAGAUGUUCAUUAUAUAUUAAUGCUUCUUACUAAAAGUAAGUAGUUUGCUUAAAUAAAACAGAAGUUUUUGGCUAAAAGGCAGCCUUAGUGGUUUGUGGGACCUGAUUUGAGGCUCCUCUUCUUCAGUGAAGUCCAACAUGGAAUUAGAAAUGUUUAUCCAAAUGGAUGAGAAGGUCCUCUGAGAGUAUCGUACUUUGCCAUUUUUUAUUAAAUUAAAAUUGCACAAAAAUGCUGAACAGCAAAAUGAGCAGGCUGAUUGACUGGUGACCUGCUGAUGCUUUUGUGCGUUUUGCUUAUUUUCUCCCAAUCAAAUCAUUUAGUCUGUGCAUCUCACUUGCUACAGCUGAAAAAAAUGACGCAACUAUUUUAUUUAGAUGACUAAAACGUUCAGUGAGAAGAGUGUUUUGUUCUUACUGCAAUGCUACCACACUGGAAGAUGUACUUAAAAUGUAAUUCUUCCCAUUGCAUUUAUUCCACUAAUGUCAGGACCUUGCAAUACUGAUUUCACUAUUUCAGAAGCUGCCUUUCAGCUUGGAACAUGAUGAUGUUCUUGCACUUUUAUAACUUUUGAAACAUUGCUUCUCAUGAAGAAGCAGUCUCAAAAUACAGUGAUCAAACUAAGGUGUUUUUUCGAUAAAAUCAAGGUAGUUAAUUAUUGGAGUGCUGCUAAGAUUAUUCAAAUGAGUUCUUUCAUGACCUACAACUUUUUUUGUAAAGAGUAAGAUUUUGUAUAUUUGAAAAUGUAUUGCAGAGCAUUCUGGAAAAUUAAUACCAAAUUAACGAGACAUGCUUUAUUUUGUUCCAUUUAUUUAAAAACAUAUUUAAAUUGGUUCUGAAAUGAAUGUCUUUUGUACAAAUCUGAGUUUUCUAACUUUUAAAGUAGCCAAAGAGGAAGAUGUCCGUGACCAUUUCCAAGUCAUAAUUUUACCCAGUUUCCUACGUGAGCCAUUGUGUAAAUUACUAAAUAGAUGUGCCAACACUGAAAAUCUAUUCACAGUUCUUGGAAUGCUUACUUGUGGCUUACUUCUUAAGCAAAAUAACGGAUGGAAUAAUGCAGCAUGAUAGAAAAUGGUCUUUUGCAGAGUUCACACUGAACGGACUUUAUGAACUUCCCCAGUCUGCUAUGUUCUGUGUGACGGAGAAUUUUAUAUUGCAGUUGAGUACUAUAAUACUGUUUAGGAUCAUGCUUCAUUUUCCUCUACACCAGUUUGAUCAUUGUUUGCUAGUGGGCUAAUAAAAGCAUUCCCGUUACACUAAGACUUUAAAGAAAAUACACUGAACUGUUUUAGCAACUGGAACUGAUUAUCUUUUUUUUUUUUUCCAGAUUGUUUUCCUUGUAGUGAAAUAACGAGCAACUUCUAAUACAUGUUAUAUUUACAUUGUAUUGAUCUAAUAUGUUUUAUAGGGUGGUUUGUUUUUUUUACUGGCACCAGUUCCAGGUUUCAAAAUGUAAUGCAAGGCAAUUGUCUGUGUCAAACCUUUUUUCAAGAGAAGGAAUAAAUGUAUGAUGUGAAGUAUAAACUGUGUAAAAUUACAUGCAAAAUAAACUCUGAGGAGGAUAAAACAAA